rnacentral:rRNA from 1 species
CCUACGGGUGGCUGCAGUGGGGAAUAUUGGGCAAUGGGCGCAAGCCUGACCCAGCAACGCCGCGUGAAGGAAGAAGGCUUUCGGGUUGUAAACUUCUUUUCUGAGGGACGAAGAAAGUGACGGUACCUCAGGAAUAAGCCACGGCUAACUACGUACCAGCAGCCGCGGUAAUACGUAGGUGGCAAGCGUUAUCCGGAGUUAUUGGGUGUAAAGGGCGGGUAGGCGGGAAAGCAAGUCAGAUGUUAAAACUCAGGGCUCAACCCUGAGCCUGCAUUUGAAACUGUUUUUCUGGAGUGCUGGAGAGGCAAUCGGAAUUCCGGGUGUAGCCGUGAAAUGCGUAGAUAUACGGAGGAACACCAGUGGCGAAGGCGGAUUGCUGGACAGUAACUGACGCUGAGGCGCGAAAGCGUGGGGAGCAAACAGGAUUAGAUACCCCUGUAGUC